rnacentral:rRNA from 1 species
AAGCUCGUAGUUGAAUUUCGGGGUUAGUAGGUUGGUCAUGCCUCUGGUAUGUACUGGUCUCACUGAUUCCUCCUUCCUGAUGAACCGUAAUGCCAUUAAUUUGGUGUUGCGGGGAAUUUGGACUGUUACUUUGAAAAAAUUAGAGUGUUUAAAGCAAGCUAACGCUUGAAUACAUUAGCAUGGAAUAAUGAAAUAGGACGUUCGAUCCUAUUUUGUUGGUUUCUAGGAUUGACGUAAUGAUUAAUAGGGAUAGUUGGGGGCAUUAGUAUUCAAUUGUCAGAGGUGAAAUUCUUGGAUUUAUUGAAGACUAACUACUGCGAAAGCAUUUGCCAAGGAUGUUUUCAUUAAUCAAGAACGAAAGUUAGGGGAUCGAAGACGAUCAGAUACCGUCGUAGUCUUAACCAUAAACUAUGCCGACUAGGGAUCGGAUGAUGUUAAUUUUUUAAUGACUCAUUCG